rnacentral:rRNA from 1 species
GACGAACGCUGGCGGCGUGCUUAACACAUGCAAGUCGAACGCUGAAGCUUGGUGCUUGCACUGGGUGGAUGAGUGGCGAACGGGUGAGUAAUACGUGAGUAACCUGCCCUUGACUCUGGGAUAAGCCUGGGAAACUGGGUCUAAUACUGGAUACGACAUGCCACUGCAUGGUGGUGUGUGGAAAGGGUUUUACUGGUUUUGGAUGGGCUCACGGCCUAUCAGCUUGUUGGUGGGGUAAUGGCCUACCAAGGCGACGACGGGUAGCCGGCCUGAGAGGGUGACCGGCCACACUGGGACUGAGACACGGCCCAGACUCCUACUGGAGGCAGCAGUGGGGAAUAUUGCACAAUGGGCGGAAGCCUGAUGCAGCGACGCCGCGUGAGGGAUGACGGCCUUCGGGUUGUAAACCUCUUUCAGCACGGAAGAAGCGAGAGUGACGGUACGUGCAGAAGAAGCGCCGGCUAACUACGUG